UACGGGGGGAGCAAGCGUUGUUCGGAUUUACUGGGCGUAAAGGGCGCGUAGGCGGUCAGCACAAGUCAGUUGUGAAAUCUCCGGGCUUAACUCGGAAAGGUCAACUGAUACUGUGCGACUAGAGUGCAGAAGGGGCAACUGGAAUUCUCGGUGUAGCGGUGAAAUGCGUAGAUAUCAAGAGGAACACCUGAGGUGAAGACGGGUUGCUGGGCUGACACUGACGCUGAGGCGCGAAAGCUAGGGUAGCAAACGGG
rnacentral:rRNA from 1 species